CCGCCGUCCCCUUCUCCACCUCCACCUCUACCUCCGCCGCCGUUGAUUUCCUCCCCUCCUACACCGUCACCCCUCCAAUCCAAGACUGGCCCCACCACCUCCACCCAAAGCGCCUCAUCUCCCUCAUCACCCGCGAGCUCGCCCUCCAAAUCUUCCACCACGCCUCCAAAUACCACCCCGGAUUUCACCAUAAUUACCACACCUACCACGCCAUCAUCCGCCGCCUCCUCCGCUCCCGCGCUUUUCACCUCAUCGACCCCCUCCUCUCCGACCUCCGCGCCUCCAAUCUCCGAUGCAGCGAAGACCUCUUCAUCUCCCUAAUCCGCAAUUACGGCGUCGUUUCACGCCCUAAACUCGCCUUCAAGACAUUUAUCACCAUACCGAAAUUCGGCGCCCAGCGAUCCGUGAGGUCCUUGAAUGCGUUGCCCUAAAGGAGGGAAUUAGGAUUUUGGACGAGAUGUUCG
rnacentral:lncRNA from 1 species